CUACAAACAACGAAGCCUGGAAAGUGUGCUGCUCAAAAGAAGCAGAGCAAGGCAGCUCGGAAGGCAGAGCACCUGCAAACAGGUUAAUGAAGCUCAGAACUGCUGGAGUUGUCAAGACCAACUGUUGCGAAUUCCCAUGGAGUUAAGUAGGAAAGUUAUGGAGAAAAAGAAACUGUAAAUUCCACAUACCUUUUAAGAAGUAGACUCAAACUCUUCUGCUGUGACCAGGCUUUGGAGCAUCUCCCUAAAGCUCCCCCCGGAUGCUCUGAGAGCUAAGCUCUAAAGCAGCCUCUGGAGUUUCCCCCGUCGGAUGUUUGCCGAGAGGACGUGAGUGGGCAGAGCAGACAUGGCAGCCUGCUGUCCAAAAACCCAGUCGGCUGGAACCAAACCUCCGAG
ensembl:lncRNA